rnacentral:rRNA from 1 species
CCUACGGGAUGCAGCAGUGAGGAAUAUUGGUCAAUGGACGAGAGUCUGAACCAGCCAAGUAGCGUGAAGGAUGACUGCCCUAUGGGUUGUAAACUUCUUUUAUAUGGGAAUAAAACGUUCCACGUGUGGGAUUUUGUAUGUACCAUAUGAAUAAGGAUCGGCUAACUCCGUGCCAGCAGCCGCGGUAAUACGGAGGAUCCGAGCGUUAUCCGGAUUUAUUGGGUUUAAAGGGAGCGUAGGUGGAUUGUUAAGUCAGUUGUGAAAGUUUGCGGCUCAACCGUAAAAUUGCAGUUGAAACUGGCAGUCGUGAGUACAGUAGAGGUGGGCGGAAUUCGUGGUGUAGCGGUGAAAUGCUUAGAUAUCACGAAGAACUCCGAUUGCGAAGGCAGCUCACUGGACUGCAACUGACACUGAGGCUCGAAAGUGUGGGUAUCAAACAGGAUUAGAUACCCUUGUAGUC